rnacentral:sRNA from 1 species
AAAACAUAAUUAUAGUGUAUUCAAAUAACCGUAGCUUUUUUAAUAAUAUACUAGAUUUUAACCUGCGGUAUACCGUAGGACGAUUUAUUUUUUAAAGGUAAUAUAUAUCAAAACUUGCAAAUUUUAACUUUAUAAAAUAUUUAUAUUUUAUAGUUUAUAAUUGUUAUUAAGUAACGUUAUACCACGAAUCCAUGAGACAAUUGUUAAAAAACUGAAGUUUUAACCCUUAUUAAAACAGGAUAUUAAUAGUAUUUUAAAAUUUUAUAAAUAUUGAUUUAAAUACAUCCACCAUAUUAUCCAAUUCCAAAAUAAAAUCCGUUCUGUAAUUUCUUUAACUGUCCCGUGAUUUUUGUUUUAAGUAGUAAUUUUUAAAAUUUAAAAAUUAUUUAUUUAA